rnacentral:rRNA from 1 species
AACGAACGCUGGCGGCAGGCCUAACACAUGCAAGUCGAGCGGACAUCUUCGGAUGUUAGCGGCGGACGGGGGAGUAACGCGUGGGAACGUGCCCUUUGCUUCGGAAUAGCCUCGGGAAACUGGGAGUAAUACCGGAUGUACCCUUUGGGGGAAAGAUUUAUCGGCAAAGGAUCGGCCCGCGUUGGAUUAGGUAGUUGGUGGGGUAAUGGCCUACCAAGCCGACGAUCCAUAGCUGGUUUGAGAGGAUGAUCAGCCACACUGGGACUGAGACACGGCCCAGACUCCUACGGGAGGCAGCAGUGGGGAAUCUUAGACAAUGGGGGAAACCCUGAUCUAGCCAUGCCGCGUGAGCGAUGAAGGCCUUAGGGUUGUAAAGCUCUUUCACCGGGGAAGAUAAUGACGGUACCCGGAGAAGAAGCCCCGGCUAACUCCGUG